GUCUUUUUAUGCCCCCGGAUCGAUAGAUCGGGGGUAUAUUGUUUUUGGCCUGUCUGUCUGUCAUUCUGUCCCAAAACUUUAAGGUUACAGUAAAGUUUUGCAAUAACUUUUGAAAUAUUGAACAUAGCAACUUGAUAUUUGGCAUGCAUGUGUAUCUCAUGGGGCUGCACAUUUUGAGUGAUGAAAGGUCAAGGUCAUCCUUCAAGGUCAAAGGUCAAAU